rnacentral:rRNA from 1 species
AUACGUAGGGUGCUAGCGUUAUCCGGAUUUACUGGGCGUAAAGGGUGCGUAGGUGGUCUUUCAAGUCGGUGGUUAAAGGCUACGGCUCAACCGUAUUAAGCCGCCGAAACUGGAAGACUUGAGUGCAGGAGAGGAAAGUGGAAUUCUCAGUGUAGCGGUGAAAUGCGUAGAUAUUGAGAAGAACACCAGUAGCGAAGGCGGCUUUCUGGACUGUAACUGACACUGAGGCACGAAAGCGUGGGUAGCAAACAGGAUUAGAUACCCUGGUAGUCCACGCCGUAAACGAUGAGUAUUAGGUGUCGGGGGUUACCCCCCUCGGUGCCGCAGUUAACGCAUUAAAUACUCCGCCUGGGGAGUACGCACGCAAGUGUGAAACUCAAAUGAAUUGACGGGG